AUUGAACGCUGGCGGCAUGCUUUACACAUGCAAGUCGAACGGUAACAGGCCGCAAGGUGCUGACGAGUGGCGAACGGGUGAGUAAUGCAUCGGAACGUGCCCAGUCGUGGGGGAUAACUACUCGAAAGAGUAGCUAAUACCGCAUACGAUCUAUGGAUGAAAGCGGGGGACCGUAAGGCCUCGCGCGAUUGGAGCGGCCGAUGUCAGAUUAGGUAGUUGGUGGGGUAAAGGCUCACUAAGCCAACGAUCUGUAGCUGGUCUGAGAGGACGACCAGCCACACUGGGACUGAGACACGGCCCAGACUCCUACGGGAGGCAGCAGUGGGGAAUUUUGGACAAAGGGCGCAAGCCUGAUCCAGCAAUGCCGCGUGCAGGAAGAAGGCCUUCGGGUUGUAAACUGCUUUUGUACGGAACGAAACGGCUCUGGUUAAUACCCGGGGCUAAUGACGGUACCGUAAGAAUAAGCACCGGCUAACUACGUG
rnacentral:rRNA from 1 species